GACGAACGCUGGCGGCGUGCCUAAUACAUGCAAGUCGAACGAGUGGCGGACGGGUGAGUAACACGUGGGAACCUACCCAUCAGAGGGGGAUCACUACUGGAAACGGUAGCUAAUACCGCAUACCAUCAGAUGUGCCCAGAUGGGAUUAGCUAGUAGGUGGGGUAACGGCUCAACUAGGCGACGAUCCCUAGCUGGUCUGAGAGGAUGACCAUCCACACGGGAACUGAGACCCGGUCCAGACUCCUACGUGAGGCAGCAGUGGGGAAUAGUGCACAAUUGGCGCAAGCCUGAUGCAGCCAUGCCUCGUGUGUGAAGAAGUCCUUCGGGUUAUAAAGCACUUUCAGCGGAGAGGCGUUACCCGCAGAAGAAGCACCGGCUAACUCCGGGCCAGCAGCCGCGGUAAUUC
rnacentral:rRNA from 1 species